UACGAGAGCCUCGAGCGUUAUCCGGAAUUAUUGGGCGUAAAGGGUGCGUAGGCGGGUCUUUAAGUCAGGGGUGAAAUCCUGGAGCUCAACUCCAGAACUGCCUUUGAUACUGAGGAUCUUGAGUACGGGAGAGGUGAGUGGAACUGCGAGUGUAGAGGUGAAAUUCGUAGAUAUUCGCAAGAACACCGGUGGCGAAGGCGGCCUGCUGGGCAGUGGCUGACGCUGAGGCGCGACAGCGUGGGGAGCAAACAGG
rnacentral:rRNA from 1 species